UACAGAGGUCUCAAGCGUUGUUCGGAUUCAUUGGGCGUAAAGGGCGCGUAGGCGGCCUCUGCAAGUCGACUGUGAAAUCUCCGGGCUUAACCCGGAAAGGUCAGCCGAUACUGCAGGGCUAGAGUGCAGAAGGGGCAACUGGAAUUCUCGGUGUAGCGGUGAAAUGCGUAGAUAUCGAGAGGAACACCUGCGGCGAAGGCGGGUUGCUGGGCUGACACUGACGCUGACAGCGCGAAAGCUAGGGGAGCGAACGGG
rnacentral:rRNA from 1 species